rnacentral:misc_RNA from 1 species
AUAAAACAAUUAAUAUCGCUGAAAAAUACCUAAAUUACUACGACCGGACUUUACAAGGAUGCUAUUUAUGCUGUAGGAGGAAUACAAUGCGUCGCAUGAUGAUCAGAUAAGCACUUGAUAUGAUGGUCCAGGCAAGCAGUCCAUGAAGCAAAGUAACAACUGGCAACAAAGACGAAUCAUUUCUGAUUCCACUAGCAAGCUCUAUUUAAAUGCUACAGGAACACAGUAUAUCAAUCACCUUGCUUGGAAUUGUUUAAUGAGGUUUUCCUCGUGCCUAAUCAACAGCAGAAAUUGAAAUUACAGAUCUAAUAUUACAAACGUGGUCACCAAAGGUCGUGACUUCAUAAGGACGCUAUUUAUGUAAUCAAUUGAACAUAAACAGUCUUGUAAAAGUACUCUCACUCAUGACGGAUACAUAAUCAAAUCACUAUUGUUUUCAUUUAUGAACACGACUUGGCACACAAAUAUGCUCAACAUAUCAAAUUUUCUUUGCCAAAUGGGCAAAAGAAUAUUGAGAAGAUGAUCAGGGGAAAAAUGUCAAAUGGACAACAAAAUUUACUUCUUGAAACUACCAAAUUGGUAUUGUUGGCUGCUGAGGCUUGAGAAGAAGUCUGCAUCCAUUGCCCGUGACUGUGAAGAUAUAAGCCCAGAUCUACCAAGGCCAGGCUCUGUGCACAUGGCUCUUCCCAAAUAAAACGAAGUUGGUGCUCCCUUGUCCUUUUCAUCUUGCCCGUCACUCAGAUCACCCACAACACCAACAUCCACCAAUGAUACCUUCUUAGGAGCAGAUAUAUUAAGAUCAAUCAGUCCACGGCUUAGCGAAUCUGCCCAUAUUCCAGAUUUGACUUGGAAAGUCUCCUUUGGUGGAGGCUUGGAGUCUGAAGCAUUCAGAUUCAAAGUAUUAAGGCUUCCAUCAUUUAUGGGAUCUUUUUCAGGUUUUGUAGAAACUGAAUUGGAACUAGAAGAUGCACCGAAAAGAUCAGAUCCAUCAAAAUUGUUCAAUGGAACUGUCACAAAUGGAUCAACAAUGUUAUUGUUUGUAGAAUCAGAUUUUUGAGCCUUGGCAUCUGGUUGCACAAUUGGAUCAACAGUGGAAAAGAAAUCAACGGUUUGAGGAAAUGCAGGAGGAACAACAGGUUGGGACGCAAACAGAUCAACCUGAGUAGGAACAACAGGUUGGGUAGCAAACAGAUCAACAUGAGUCUGCUUAAAUGAUCAAAACAAAAAUAUUAGUGAAUAAUACCCUAGCACCGAUUAAGUGGGCAUACAUUCCAAAUCUAAACAAGUGUAAUCAUGCACCUCUAGGAUUUGAAACUGAAUUAUUUUUUAUUUUUGAUUCCCGAAUUUGCCUAGUCAUUUAUAUUAUCUGAGUAACCACAUCAAUAAUUGAUCAUCUAGGAGAAAAGGUUCCAAGUUCCAUCAACCAUAGUCGGGCGAGAGAGGGAAUGGGAUACUGAACAUUCAUAUCGUCGUAGCUAAAAUGACUACAGAAUUCUUCACUCCUAGAAGUAAAUGAUUUAAAUACACUCAAUAUUUCAAUUUUCACAGAUAAACAAAACAGACUAAAUGGAAAUCCUUACCAUAUGGUACCUGAAAACAAUUAAACAGCUUUCUCAACUUUCAAUAGGCAUAAGAGAGCUAGAAUACCAUAUUUAAUUUCAUUUUCAGAAAUUAGAAUGAGAAAAUACUGACCUGAAAAUGAGAAGUUGCCCCCUUUUCUACUUGGGGUGGUGCUGAUACGAAUGUUGCAUCAGCAAACAGAUCGACCUCUGAUGAGUUGCCAUUCGUGGCUGAUGUUUCUGUGGAAACAGAUGUUGGUGCAUCCACGAGGUCGCCAAUCAAAUUUUCCCCAAACAGAAAAACUUGGUUAGAAGUUUCAGCAGCUGGCUCUGUCAAAUAGGAUAAAUCACAAAUAUAGUGAGAAAUGUAUCGGCAAGCAUGACAUAUGUAUGAACUGCAUGACAAUGAAUAAGUACAAUAUAAAUGAGACAUCAACAUUGUACGGCAACACACUGAGUUCUAAAUUUUUAUUAACUGUAAAUUUCUUACAAGAGAGCGUGCAAUGUACGUAUACUAUCGCCUUGUUUGGAACAAAAAUCAUGUUACAAAAUUCAACUCAAUUAAUUUAAGAAAGAAUUCACAUGUUUGGAAUAACUCUUAAAAUGAUAGAAUUCAAUCGAAUUUUAGUGUUUGCAAUAACUGAGAAGUGAUUUGAAUUUAUGCAACUUCCUAUGUAACCUCUAUUAAGAAUAUUACAAAGUUGCUUUCAAGGGUUAUUUUUUUUGACUUUUCAAUUAUGGGCCCCACCAACACUAAACCUAAUGAAUUAAAUUGUUGUAAACUCACUCCAUUUUUUUUAGUGAUUUCCUAUCGUUGCAAAAUGGUUCUUUUAAGAAAUAUUCUUUCCCUUAAAAGAGAUUUUCUAACAUGAAAACUGAGCAAAUAGAAUAAGAUAGAAUAGAAUAGAAUAGAAUAGAAUUCUUGCAUAAGACAUACAAACAUAUUGUAGAAAUUGUUAAUUUGUUACCACCUUCCAAGGCUAUGCAUUCAAAAUCACUGCUUAAUUAUAUCAAGGAAAAAAUUUUAAGUGUUCAUCUAUUUUGUCCAUUCUCUCUUCCUCCUAGUCAAUGCUAUAACAAAUGUGAUAUCCUUGCUAAAUGAGAAGGCUCAAAGGUGUUCUUUAAACCAUUAUUGUCCAAAGCCUCUGAUUUGAGAGUCUGAAAAAAUGGACUUAAUCUGUUUACAUUUGUUUAAUAUUUCAAGUUUGUGCAUCUGCAACAACUACAAUGAGCAAGCAAGUCUGGAAGUACGAUUUUCAUAUAAAAAAAGAAGGUUCACAAAGGAUUUCCUAAACAGGCUUUGAAUAGAGUGCAUUAGGGCUUCUCACUAACUGCAGAAAUGUAUAAUACACCAAACAAAUUUAGCAAAUAUAUGCAUCACAGACAUUCUCUUUGUGUAAGAUAUUACUAGAGCUGGAAGUUCCCCUGGGAUCAAAAUCAUCAUCAUAGUUACUUGAAGGGGCACUUGAGCAUUGUGAAGGAACAGAAUUGUUCUUGUGAGGGUCAUUUAACUUAGAUGACAACUUUGAUGCAUUGACUGACACAUUAUUCUGAUCCCUGAUGGAAGGAAAGGGAAAAGAAAACACAAAAUAGCAAUGUAUCAUAAAUUUUGGAGCCAAGAUCCCUUUGAAUGUGCAUGGAAGUGAUUAUGGCAGCAGUACAGGUUGCUUUUUUUAACAAAAUGAUACUAAGAAACAACACAAAAUAACAAAAAUAAAAUGUCAAAGAAUCAUUCAUACAACAAAUGACUAAUUCACUGAAAGCCAUUAAGAAGUAUAAUGGAGUAUGACACAAGAAAUACGUAACCCAAUAAUAUCCAAAUUACUGAGAAUUGUAUCAAGCUCAAUUAAUAGUUUUACAAAUAUUGAGAUUUAUCUACCUACCUCUCAUAAAUAUAUCAACAUGCAUUUUUGUGCAUGUGUCAACACAGAUACAAACACACGCAUCUUCAAAUCAAACAGAAGGGUAAUGGAAAGCCAAACCUGCCACUGCAUGUCGAACCCUUCUUCCACAUGUUCCCUGGAUCAUCAGUCACACCCCCUUGACGUGACUUUCCAUAGGUAUCCUUCUCAGUCUUUUCUUCUCCAUAAUGAUCCUUGUCUCUAUAACUGUCCCUAAAACUAUCACUGUCUCUUGUACCACUUAGGCCUCCAUAUCGAUUACUACUCUGGAAGCCACUACUACUGUA